rnacentral:rRNA from 1 species
UACGAAGGGGGCUAGCGUUGCUCGGAAUCACUGGGCGUAAAGGGUGCGUAGGCGGGUCUUUAAGUCAGGGGUGAAAUCCUGGAGCUCAACUCCAGAACUGCCUUUGAUACUGAAGAUCUUGAGUUCGGGAGAGGUGAGUGGAACUGCGAGUGUAGAGGUGAAAUUCGUAGAUAUUCGCAAGAACACCAGUGGCGAAGGCGGCUCACUGGCCCGGUACUGACGCUGAUGCACGAAAGCGUGGGGAGCAAACAGG